UUACCAUGCAAGUCGAGCGCCUCAGCAAUGGGGAGCGGCUGACGGGUGAGUAACGCGUGGGAAUGUACCUUUCGGUUCGGAAUGACUCAGGGAAACUUGAGCUAAUACCGGAUACGCCCCUCGGGGGAAAGAUUUAUCGCCGAAAGAUCAGCCCGCGUCCGAUUAGCUAGUUGGUGGGGUAAUGGCCCACCAAGGCGACGAUCGGUAGCUGGUCUGAGAGGAUGAUCAGCCACACUGGGACUGAGACACGGCCCAGACUCCUACGGGAGGCAGCAGUGGGGAAUAUUGGACAAUGGGGGCAACCCUGAUCCAGCCAUGCCGCGUGAGUGAUGAAGGCCUUAGGGUUGUAAAGCUCUUUCGGCGGGGACGAUAGUGACGGUACCCGCAGAAGAAGCCCCGGCUAACUUCGUGCCAGCAGCCCGCGGUAAU
rnacentral:rRNA from 1 species